GAUGAACGCUGGCGGCGUGCUUAACACAUGCAAGUCGAACGAGAAGUGAAGACGGAAACCUUCGGGCGGAAGGCUUUAUUUCGAGUGGCGGACGGGUGAGUAACGCGUGGGUAACCUGCCUCAUACAGGGGGAUAACAGUUGGAAACGACUGUUAAUACCGCAUAAGACCACAGCACCGCAUGGUGCGGGGGUAAAAACUCCGGUGGUAUGAGAUGGACCCGCGUUCGAUUAGCCAGUUGGCGGGGUAACGGCCCACCAAAGCGACGAUCGAUAGCCGAUCUGAGAGGAUGACCGGCCACAUUGGGACUGAGACACGGCCCAAACUCCUACGGGAGGCAGCAGUGGGGAAUAUUGCACAAUGGGGGAAACCCUGAUGCAGCGACGCCGCGUGAGUGAAGAAGUAUUUCGGUAUGUAAAGCUCUAUCAGCAGGGAAGAAAAUGACGGUACCUGAGUAAGAAGCCCCGGCUAACGACG
rnacentral:rRNA from 1 species